GUACUACUCUCAGAGUUUGUAUCCUGGCUCAGGACGAACGCUGGCGGCGUGCCUAACACAUGCAAGUCGAGCGGAGACAGAUUUGUAGCUUGCUUGAAUCUGUUUUAGUCGGCGGACGGGUGAGUAACGCGUGAGCAACCUUUCUCUCAGUGGGGAAUAACACAGGGAAACUUGUACUAAUACCGCAUGAGACCACGACCUGGCAUCGGGAUGGGGUCAAAGAUUAAUCGCUGAGAGGUGGGCUCGCGUCUGAUUAGAUAGUUGGUGGGGUAACGGCCUACCAAGUCGACGAUCAGUAGCCGACCUGAGAGGGUGAUCGGCCACAUUGGGACUGAGACACGGCCCAA
rnacentral:rRNA from 1 species